rnacentral:lncRNA from 1 species
CAACCCUCCUGUGACCUGGUGGGGACCAGCUGGCUACUGUAGACUGGGGGCUGGGGGCUGGAGGCUGGGGGAGUCAGGGAAGGCUCUAGAUCCCCUGGGUGCAGGGAGGGAGGCAGGGAGGCAGGGCCAAGCUGGCAGGCGCUGUUGGGGUUGGAGCUGAGUGUGUGUCAGCGGUCAGCUUCCGGUUUCUGCCGCAGGGAGAAUGGGCUGCCGCCCGGCUGUCUGUCAGGAAGACCAUGGGAGACAGGGGUGCCCAGCAGUGAAGCCGGCGAGGGUCCCCAGCACUUGCUGUGAAUGAGGUGGAAGUGGGCCUCUCUGGAAAGAUGUGGUUCCCGGGGCUCAGGACCCCCAGGUGGGAGAGGUGUAUCUGACUGGACACCAGCAGUGAAGAAGCCUCUGGAUGGCAGCCGGGAGAGGCUGGCAAGCUUGGCCUUGGCCACAGGGGUGGUCAGCUGUCUGGGAGCAGCUCCUUGGUGCUGGAAUGGAGAGGUCACCUUUUAUGUGAAAUCAGGUAGGAGCUGGGAAGGUUUUGAAGCCUGCAGUCAGGUUCCCUCCUUCCCAUGUCAAGGAUACAUGGCCCAUGCCCCAGCACACUGGGCUUCCUCCUGCCUGGGGCACAGCAGAGCAUUUCCAUUUGAUAGAUACAGAAGCUGAGCACAUUAAUCCCAAGGAUGGUAAGAUGUGUCCAAGCUGGGGGGUCUUCCUAUCAGCAGGCAGUUCCUUUGCGUCACCCUGACUCUGUCAUGGGAUACUUACAGUUGUUUGGUGUUAAAACCAUUACAGUGUCCAGUAUCCAUCCACCCACCCACCACCCGUCUAUCUAUCCAUCCACCCACCCACCAUCCAUCCAUCCAUCCAUCAACCUGUCCAUCCAUCCACCCACACGUCUUCCCAUCUAUCCCUCCGUCCAUGUUUAUUGAAGGCCAGCCUUGUGCUGGGUGCAGGGUUGGUACUUGCUAAACCAGGUAGGCAAAGGCACAGCAACACCCUUGAGCAGGGUUGUCAAAUUUAGUAAAUAAAAAUAUAGGACAUCCAGUUAAAUUUGAAUUU